AGUAUUGACUUGCUCUUGGGCAAAUAAUCAAUUGGCAUUGUAAACACGAAAAUAUACUGUGAGAAAAAAUGUGUUCACUGCCCGGUUUUGGACUAUUUAUUGGUUAUGGCACCCUGAUCUUGUACAGCAUUAUUCUAAUUGUAUCCAUUGGUCUAUUGGCCGAUAAAAAAUUGGUAGAUGGAAUUGUCGACGAUAUAGCUGACAAGGAGAAUGAUGUGAACAUUUAUGCAACCACGAUUGCCAUCCGCUUUGCAAUUGUCUUUACCAUGAUUGUGGGAGUUAUAAUGAUUAUUGUAUCGGCCUAUCUUAUUAAGGGUAUUGACAAGCAAAUAAUGUUCAGAAAACUACGACAAUUUUACUGGAGGGAGAUAUUUCUUGCCACAUUCUUUACUGACCACUGCUUUUUCAUAGAAACGACCCAUGUCUUUGAUACCCUGGCUGCUGAUAACAUUCAUUUGUAUAGUCGGAUGCCUAAUUUAUAAUUUUGUGGUACUAUUAACCUCUGAAAAUCCCGCUCAAGAGUUUGUUGUGGGAAUGUCUAUUGUUGUUUUACAAUGUGCCAUAUUCUAUCCAAUAUACACUCUCUAUCGAAAAAUGCGGAAAGAAAAAUUUCCAGCACCAGUGGAUAGUAUCUAAAGCCGUGUUUAUACUGGACAUGUUUUCAUAAAAUGCUGUUUUUAGUUUCUAAGUUCCUUUGAUUAUGCAUAAAAUAAUUGACGAAUCUUCGUAAUAUUCAAAUAUAUAUUUACAUAUUUCUGUAAAUGGCAGUGGUCAGAAUCCAUCAGAUUUUUUGACGUCUUUCAUGAGCCCACUGAACAACCUAAAACAAAUACUUUGUUAAUAACAACAUCGGUCGGCUUCUGAAUUGUAAUAUUAACAAUUUGCCAGGCUAAUUCAUUUAGGAGGCAAGUUCCCAACCCGUUAUUCUACAGCUCAAGCAGAUAUUAAAAUAAACGUUUCAUGUCAUUGAA